rnacentral:rRNA from 1 species
UUAAAUUGAAGAGUUUGAUCAUGGCUCAGAUUGAACGCUGGCGGCAGGCCUAACACAUGCAAGUCGAACGGUAACAGGAAACAGCUUGCUGUUUCGCUGACGAGUGGCGGACGGGUGAGUAAUGUCUGGGAAACUGCCUGAUGGAGGGGGAUAACUACUGGAAACGGUAGCUAAUACCGCAUAAUGUCGCAAGACCAAAGAGGGGGACCUUCGGGCCUCUUGCCAUCGGAUGUGCCCAGAUGGGAUUAGCUAGUAGGUGGGGUAACGGCUCACCUAGGCGACGAUCCCUAGCUGGUCUGAGAGGAUGACCAGCCACACUGGAACUGAGACACGGUCCAGACUCCUACGGGAGGCAGCAGUGGGGAAUAUUGCACAAUGGGCGCAAGCCUGAUGCAGCCAUGCCGCGUGUAUGAAGAAGGCCUUCGG